UACGUAGGGUGCGAGCGUUGUCCGGAAUUACUGGGCGUAAAGAGCUCGUAGGUGGUUUGUCGCGUUGUUCGUGAAAACUCACAGCUCAACUGUGGGCGUGCGGGCGAUACGGGCAGACUGGAGUACUGCAGGGGGAGACUGGAAUUCCUGGUGUAGCGGUGGAAUGCGCAGAUAUCAGGAGGAACACCGGUGGCGAAGGCGGGGUCUCUGGGGCAGUAACUGACGCUGAGGAGCGAAAAGCGUGGGGAGCGAACAGG
rnacentral:rRNA from 1 species